GCCACCCGUCCCGGAGGCGUCCCCGCUCACCCGGCCUCUGCUCUGCUGCGGGCCUCGGGAUCAAGGCCGUAAGUCCAGCCCUGUAUUCAGGACCCUCCGCCGUGACUUGCCUCCCACCCACUGGAGGUGGGACCCGCUACGGGCGUCAGAUGCCACCCUCCACGUCAUGGCUCCUGCUGGGCUCUGCAGCUGAACUGGCCCCUCCCCGCUACCGACUCUCUCACCUGGAAAACCCCUGAGAGCCUGAAAUCCGGGGCACCUCUUCUUCUGGCCGCUGCUCUGGACGCUCCUCCUGUGAUGGCCGCUAAUCUGUGGCCUGCUCUGUCUGGGUUGACACUGUCAGAAAGAGCACAUCUGCCUGAUACUCCCUGGAAACUGCAGAACUGCCACACAGGCUGCGAAGAGGUCGGCUCUGGCCAUUUCCAAAGUCCUGAAGAAUGAGGAUUACAGGCCUAGGUGUUGCCUCCCUGAAACCAAAGAUCCAAAAAAGAUCAGAGACAGAGGGCAUGGUCAAUGCAACCCCGUGGAAGCAGCCACACAGAGCUAGAAGGUGCAUGCACUGCCGGCUGACCCGCCUGAC